GUGCUUGCCUUGGCAGCACAUAUACUAAAAUUGAAACGAUACAGAGAAGAUUAGCAUGGCCCCUGUGCAAGGAUGACAUGCAAAUUCUUGAAGUGUUUCGUAUUAAA
rnacentral:snRNA from 1 species